GACGAACGCUGGCGGCGUGCUUAACACAUGCAAGUCGAACGGAAAGGCCCUGCUUUUGUGGGGUGCUCGAGUGGCGAACGGGUGAGUAACACGUGAGUAACCUGCCCUUGACUUUGGGAUAACUUCAGGAAACUGGGGCUAAUACCGGAUAGGAGCUCCUGCUGCAUGGUGGGGGUUGGAAAGUUUCGGCGGUUGGGGAUGGACUCGCGGCUUAUCAGCUUGUUGGUGGGGUAGUGGCUUACCAAGGCUUCGACGGGUAGCCGGCCUGAGAGGGUGACCGGCCACAUUGGGACUGAGAUACGGCCCAGACUCCUACGGGAGGCAGCAGUGGGGAAUAUUGCACAAUGGGCGGAAGCCUGAUGCAGCAACGCCGCGUGCGGGAUGACGGCCUUCGGGCUGUAAACCGCUUUCGCCUGUGACGAAGCGUGAGUGACGGUAAUGGGUAAAGAAGCACCGGCUAACUACGUG
rnacentral:rRNA from 1 species